UACGUAGGGGGCAAGCGUUGUCCGGAAUCAUUGGGCGUAAAGAGCGCGUAGGCGGCCCUGUAAGUCCGCUGUGAAAGUCAAGGGCUCAACCCUUGGAUGCCGGUGGAUACUGCAGGGCUAGAGUCCGGAAGAGGCGAGUGGAAUUCCUGGUGUAGCGGUGAAAUGCGCAGAUAUCAGGAGGAACACCGAUGGCGAAGGCAGCUCGCUGGGACGGUACUGACGCUGAGGCGCGAAAGCGUGGGGAGCAAACCGG
rnacentral:rRNA from 1 species